UAGGCGUAAAUGAUGCGAGUUAAGUGUGGGGCAUCUACGAGAUGGCCCUGUGCUGUAGGGUAGCCGAUAAACUCGCUGCCUGGGGAGUACGGUCGCAAGGCUGAAACUUAAAGGAAUUGGCGGGGGGAGCACCACAAGAGGUGGAGGCUGCGGUUCAAUUGGACUCAACGCCGGAAACUCAUCGGGAGCGACAGCAGUAUGAUUGCCAGGUUGAUGACCUUGCUUGACAAGCUGAGAGGUGGUGCAUGGCGUAGUCGUGU
rnacentral:rRNA from 1 species